UGACAGCUUUGUAGUAUGUUUUGAAAUUGAGAAAUGGGAGUCCAUCAGCUUUGUUCUUUUUCAAGAUUGUUCUGGCUACUGUGAGAGUGUUAGUCACUCAGUUGUAUCCAGUUCUUUUUUUUUUUUUUUUUUUUUACAGGCCGGGGUCUGGAUCCCGGGGCACCGAAGGGCCGCGGACUCUCUCGGGGCAGCCCCGCGCUCCGCCCGCUGGGGCCCGGCCAAGGCGCCCCGGGGUCCCUUCGCCGCCCGCACCCCCAGCGCCGCGCCGCUGUAUCCAGUUCUUUGUGACCCCUUGGACUGUAACCUGCCAGGCUCCCUUGUCCAUGGGAUUCUCCAAGCAAGAAUACUGGAGUGGGUAGCCAUUCCCUUCUCCAGGGGAUCUUCCUAACCCAGGGAUUGAACUCUGGUCUCCUGCAUUGCAGGCAGAUUCUGCUACUAUGAAUUCCUCAAAUUUGCACAUGAAUUUGAAGAACAAAUGGUGAACUUCUGCAAAGAAAGCUGCUGGGAUUUGGGCAGGGAUUACAUCGAAUUCUAAGAUCAAUUUGGGGAGUACUGUCCUCUUUAACAAUAUUGUUUCCUGAUCCAUGAGUAUGAGAUUGCUUUCUAUUUAUUUCAGCUCAGUUCAGUCGCUCAGUCGUGUCCAACUCUCUGCGACCCCAUGGACUGCGGCACACCAGGCUUCCCUGCCCAUCACCAACUCCCGGAGCUUGCUCAAACUCAUGUCCAUCAAGUCGGUGAUGCCAUCCAACUGCCUCAUCCUCUGUCAUCCCCUUCUCCUGCCUUCAAUCUUUCCCAGCAUCAGGGUCUUUUCCAAUGAGCCAGUUCUUCACAUCAGGUGGCCAAAGUAUUGGAGUUUCAGCUUCAGCAUCAGUCCUUCCAAUGAAUAUUCAGGACUGAUUUCCUUUAGGAUGGACUGGUUAGAUCUCCUUGCUGUCCAAUGGACUCUAUUUAAAUCGUCUUUCAGAGCUUCCCUGGUGGCUCAGCUGGUAAAGAAUCCCCCUGCAAUGUGGGAGACCUGGGUUCCAUCCCUGGGUUGGGAAGAUCCCCUGGGGGAGAAUGGCUACCCACUCCAGUAUUCUGGCCCAGGGAAUUACAUGGACCGUAUAGUCCAUGGGGUCACAAAGAGUCGGCCAUGACCGAGUGACUUUCACUAAUUUCUUUCAAUGCUUUCAGAGUAUAAAUUUUACACUUCUGUUAAAUUUGUCUGUUUUAUUCUCUCUGAUGCUAUUGUAAAUGGAAAUGUUUUACUUUCAUUGUAUGGACUGUUCAUUCCAAGUGUAUAGAAAGGGUUGAUCUUUGCAUAUUGACCUUGCAUCGCCCUUGCUUUUGCGUCUCCAUGCUUUACACAGCAGGCAGUCACUGUGGCAAAGCCUGCGGGUGGGGCAAGACUCGGGGCCAGGCCGCCAGCCGCAAGGCAGCAGCUGAUGUUGUAAUCCAGGUGACAGGUGUGCGUGGCUGGCCUGGCAAAGUGGGGAAAGAGAAAUGGGUGGGCUGGAGCCACAGGACUGGGAUGGGGUGGGAGAAAAGGAGUUGUCGAGGAUAAGGCCCAUACACCCCACUACAUAUAAAAUAGGCAACAGGGAAUGCUACUCAGUACUCUAUAAUGGCCCAUACGGGAAAAGACCCUAAAAAAGAGUAGAUAUGUGUGUAUGUAUAGCUGAUUCACUUUGCCGUACACCUGAAAUGAAUACAACAUUGUAAAUCAACUAUAUGCUGAUAAAAUGUUUUUUAAAUGAACAACAACAACAAAAAAAGGGUAAGGCCCUAAGUUUUUGGCCUGGAUCACAUUUACCAGGAAUUUCAUUUUGAAAAUGUGGCUUUGAAGUGCCUUUAAAACAAGCCAAAGGAAGGGAAUUAAUUCCUGGCAGUCUAGUGACUAGGACUUAGCACUCUUUCUGCCAAGUACCUGGGUUCAAUCCCUGUUGGGGAACAAAAAAGUUCCAUAAGCCACAAGGCACAGCGAGAAGAAAAAAAAAAGCCACCAGUUCCAGAGGCAGCUGAAUAAGCCAUUAGUAGCUCAGGGCAGCUCUAGGCUGGAAAUAAAAUCCCGGGUGUCAGAGAGUGGGAAAAGACAGCUGGGCAGUGGCCGAGAAGCUAACACCAAAUGCAUGGACACAGGAAGCCAGCUGUGGCCAGGCAGCUGAAGAAAGCUGGGGGUGAAGCCUCCAGGGGGAGGGUCCCAUGGUGCUGUAAGCUGCUGAAGUCACAGCAGGUAGUAACCCAGCCUCAAAGACUGCAGGAGACUUCAGCCAAUGGAACCCAGACUGCACUGAGAUGGGUGUGCGUGCGUGCGUGUGUACACACACUCAGUCGCAUCCGAUUCA
ensembl:lncRNA